GACCAACGACUACAAAACCAUGCUGGAUUUUGAGCUGCCUCUAAAUUGGCUUUGCUGACAAAUCAAACCCUAAAGGUGCCUUAUUUUCAUAAAUGCAAGAUUUCUUCCAUCAAUGAAGAUUCACAGACUGAAAAGGUAGUUGACAAGCACUUGAGGGGAACAGAAGUUUACAAAGAGAUGAGAAAGCUUUAUGGACCUGUGGGAAUACAGUCUAUGAGGCAAAUGUACUCUGAGCAGUUACUGAAGGGAAGCCAGUUAAAUGCUGUACUGUCAUUCCCAAGACAAAGAAUGAUUGAUAACAUCUUGGUCAGGAGAAGCGUACAACAACAUGAGAUGAAAAAAUAAAGGGAUGAAGUAAAAAAGUAAUAACACCAAUCAUUUAUUCAAACUUUCUGUAAGGUUACGUCUGGGAGUAUUUACUAAUAUAUAUUGAAAUCCCCAGAAGUUUAUUCUUUACCAUCCC
rnacentral:lncRNA from 1 species